rnacentral:rRNA from 1 species
UACGAAGGGGGCUAGCGUUGUUCGGAAUUACUGGGCGUAAAGCGCGUGUAGGCGGGUCUUUAAGUCAGGGGUGAAAUGCCAGGGCUCAACCUUGGAACUGCCUUUGAUACUGGAGAUCUUGAGUCCGGGAGAGGUGAGUGGAAUUGCGAGUGUAGAGGUGAAAUUCGUAGAUAUUCGCAAGAACACCAGUGGCGAAGGCGGCUCACUGGCCCGAUACUGACGCUGAGGCACGAAAGCGUGGGG